UAUUUUUCAGAAAAGUCUCGAGAAAGUCAUCUGUCUAAUGACUUUUUAAGAUUUGAGUAGUCCCCAUUCUAGGAAAACUUUGGCUGCAUAAAGCUCUCUUUUGAAGCUUCUACAUUGAUGACACAACAGCUAUUAUGAUGAGAUGUCUAGAUUGAUGUGACUAUUAUCCAAUGUACUGAAUGUUUUUCAUCUUAAUUUUCUCUUAAGCCGUGUUUUAUUGAGGACAUCAAGAAUAGGUUGGACCUACGGUGGAAUUUCUCCCUUUGGCAACUUCACUAUGACUAAUAACGAAAAUCUGUGGCAUUAGUAUUGUUCCCUAGGAAUCUCUCCAAUGUAAUGAGCUACAAUGAAGUGACCAUUUUUGUCCUGUGGAUAUUUGGAAGGCUGUUUCUGCAAGUGAAGAAUACUGCCGUUUAUUGAUUAUUUUUGAUAAACUUGCAAUGCAUGCAACUUUUAUUUGAUUCCAACUAUUAGUUUUACAUUAUAGAAUUGUUAUCAAGUGUCAGUGAUACUGCAGCGUCAAGAUAUAUGAGAUAAACAGGUUGUAAUUUUAACAUUUAUAGGGCGGCCAUUUUGA